AAUCAACGCUGGCGGCGUGCCUAACACAUGCAAGUCGAACGAGAAAGUGGAGCAAUCCAUGAGUAAAGUGGCGACCGGGUGAGUAACACGUGACUAACCUACCUUCGAGUGGGGAAUAACCUCGGGAAACCGGGGCUAAUACCGCAUAAUGUCUUCGGACCAAAGGAGCAAUUCGCUUGAAGAGGGGGUCGCGGCCGAUUAGCUAGUUGGUGGGGUAACGGCCCACCAAGGCAAUGAUCGGUAGCCGGCCUGAGAGGGCGCACGGCCACACUGGAACUGAAACACGGUCCAGACUCCUACGGGAGGCAGCAGUGGGGAAUUUUGCGCAAUGGGGGAAACCCUGACGCAGCAACGCCGCGUGGAGGAUGAAGCCCCUUGGGGUGUAAACUCCUUUCGAUCGGGACGAUUAU
rnacentral:rRNA from 1 species